CCCGACUACAUGAAGCUGGAAUCGCUAGUAAUCGCGAAUCAGAAUGUCGCGGUGAAUACGUUCCCGGGUCUUGUACACACCGCCCGUCACACCAUGGGAGUUGGAAAUGCCCGAAGCCGGUGACCGAACCUUAGGGACGGAGCCGUCGAAGGUGGAGCCAAUGACUGGGGUGAAGUCGUAACAAGGUAAC
rnacentral:rRNA from 1 species